GGGAAGGCAACGUGAAGACACUAGACACACUAUUGGAGGGCCGACUACGAUCUCCAAUGACGGUACUCCGAUACAUGCAACUAACAUACUAUUAUAACUCGCUCCCGCACAAGGAAAAGCUACAAAGAGAUCUAACCUGGUUUGAAGACCUCUGCCUACGAGCAACCUCGCUUGGAAAAGCUGUCUGGACCCUCUACAAAAACCUAUUGACCAGACCCUCCUCAGAGAACAACACAUUCCAGCGGCAAUGGGAGAGAGCUAUGGACAAAACAUUCACAUCGACCCAAUGGGACAAAGCCUUGAUAUGGCAACAUAAAA